CGCUCCACUCGACGAGAGCUUCGCGGGAUAUUAAUUUCAAAAUUUUCCGACAACGUUUUUCGGUAUUCUCAAUUCGCGGAAAUUCGACAGUUGACCGGGUCUGCGAAAUUUCGGCCAGACAGACCCGUUAUCGGAAAAGUCUCCGAAUUGGGCCGAGAUUUUGCCUACCCCCCCAUUGUCAGACGUCCCGAGCGCGUCCCCGAGGUCGGAAUCGGCAAAGGCCACAGGAGGAUAUUUUAUUCUGGGUUAACCUGCUUUUAUCCUUCGCAGGUUGUUUAUCCAUGUUUGUGUAAUUUUAAUUACUCCUAGAAUUUCCGCAUGUGUUAGCAGUAUUUAUUUGAAUUUGGUCUGUAAUAUUUUUAUCAUGUUGGACCUGUAAACUUAAAUAUGUUAUGCAUGUUGAUGGAUUGGAUGAGGGAGCUGAGCUCCCAUUUAUUUUAUGUUGAUGAGUAUGUGGAGGGUGAGCUGAGCUCCCCAAUUGAGUA